UACAUUGAAACACUGGUUCCUGUAUGAUCACCAAAGUUAAGCAACAUUGAGCCUGGUCUGUACCUAGAUGGGUGACCAUUUGGGGAAUACCAGGUGUU